rnacentral:rRNA from 1 species
ACGGGAGGCAGCAGUGGGGUAUAUUGGGCAAUGGGCGAAAGCCUGACCCAGCAACGCCGCGUGAAGGAAGAAGGCCUUCGGGUUGUAAACUUCUUUUACCAGGGACGAAGGACGUGACGGUACCUGGAGAAAAAGCAACGGCUAACUACGUGCCAGCAGCCGCGGUAAUACGUAGGUUGCAGGCGUUGUCCGGAUUUACUGGGUGUAAAGGGCGUGUAGGCGGAGAGGCAAGUCAGAUGUGAAAUCCCGGGGCUCAACCCCGGAACUGCAUUUGAAACUGUCUCCCUUGAGUAUCGGAGAGGCAAGCGGAAUUCCUAGUGUAGCGGUGAAAUGCGUAGAUAUUAGGUGGAACACCAGUAGCGAAGGCGGCUUACUGGACUGACACUGACGCUGAGGCACGAAAGCGUGGGGAGCAAACAGGAUUAGAUACCCUGGUA